rnacentral:lncRNA from 1 species
UCGAAAAGAGGCGUGUUCGUUUGCCACCGUGAUCAGCUCAGUAAAGACUUGUGUAGUCUUUUUCCUUUGUUUGAUGAUUUUUGUAUUCUAUAGCUGGAUGAUAAUCUUGUGACUUGAUUGAUCCAAGGAUGUCGAAGACAUUAUUCCCGUCGAGGUGGAGGCGGAGGUUGAGGCUGGUCCGUUGACUACCAUUUCUGGGUCCAUAGUCGACUUAACUAUGGAGGAUGCACCUGAGAUCGAAGACGCAAGUCUCGUAGGUGCCACUAUAUCUAUGCUGCAGGAGGUCAUCCACUUGGUGGAGGACCCUGUAGUCCCCGAGAGUUCUGGAGGUGUGCUGCCUACAACGGCUGAAGUUGUGUCGACUGUGAGCGCGACUGGUGCUGAUGCCUUGGCAUUAGUUGUUGCGAUAGGAGUAGGCGAAGUCUGCGCAACAGGUAUGUUACUGGAGUAGAGAUGUUUUUUGAAGGGGAGUUCCCUUGUACCCAGUAGCUAACCUUGAUUUUUUCGUGUCAGGGUCUGUUGUGAGUAAAGAGCUGGAGCCUCAAGUCGCCAAGAGCAAUGGGGGUUUGGUACUCGAGCUGCCACCAGAGUCGGAGAUCAAGAGAGCUAUCCAGAGCUUUCAGAUGCGUAUAACCCUUUUUCUUUGACUAAUUAUAUUUUGACAAGUCUUGAUGCUUGUGUUGUGUUGUUGUAGGAUCUGUAUGAUAAGGCCCAAAAAAAUACUCGAGCUCUUCAGGAGCACAGUGAAGCCACAUAGUGGGUAGCGCAACUGGAGCAAGAGUGUCGCUGUCUUAUGGAUUCCUUGAGAGUUCAUGAGGAGACCGCUAAAUCUUUUGCAAUUGAAAGGAGUGACUAUGAUGUCCUUCAGGAGCGACUGGAGAGUCGCUAUAUAUCUAUGAACCAGAGAUAUCAAGGUGAGUACUCAUAGUUGUUGAGUAUGUUUAAUCAUAGUCGUAGAUUCUGAUCUGUGUGUUGUUUGGCGUAGAGCUCAAAGGUAAGGAGGCCACUACGAGUAGCCAACUGCUUGACUAGAGAAAUGCUAACGACCGGGUAGCCGAUGAGGCUGCCCGCCUUAAGGCGUCACUGGAUGAAACUCAGGUGGCCUAUGAGCGUGAGAGGGAUAGAAAGGAUCAGACGGGAGUGAUGCUGGCAUUGGCUAUGGUGUCCUGUAGAGGCCAUGCUAGAACUGUGGAGAAGUUAGAAGGUGAUCUCCAAGAGUUGACUAGUGCUGCUCAGGACGUAGUCAACGCUAUUGCUCCACUCAAAGAUGAUGCUGAGCCUCGCUCGCUAGUUGAGAGACUAAGAGCUACCCCGGGUAGAGUUGCUGGACUAUGUAAGACUGUCUGCAAGUAUGUCCUUGCAGUGGUCAAGUCGUAUUACCCGAGGGCAAACUUGUCGGCGGUUGGAGAUGGAAUUGCCUAGAACUGCAUAGAGGAUGGCUAUGCGCAGUAUCUUGAGGAGGCUGAGCCCAUUACGGGAAGGAUGACCGAGUUCAUAUCUUUGAAGGAACCCUAGUCAUUUGAACUCAUGUUGCAUUUUUUGCCGAACACUUGUGGCUGUACUCAAACAAUUGUCUUGUAAAUCUUGCUCUCUCGAGAAAUUCUAAUU